GACGAACCGUCCUGACGUUGUUCGGAAUCAGCUGGGCUUAAAGGGCGCGUUAGGCGGGUCAGCAAGUUCCGGGGUGAAAUCUUUCGGCUCAACCGGAAAAUAGCCUUGGAUACUGCUGGUCUCGAGGGAGGUAGGGCCUGUGGAAUUCCUGGUGUAGCGGUGAAAUGCGCAGAUAUCAGGAAGAACACCUAUGGCGAAGGCAGCUCUCUGGGACGGUACUGACGCUGAGACGCGAAAGCGUGGGGAGCGAACAGG
rnacentral:rRNA from 1 species